rnacentral:lncRNA from 1 species
CGCAGACCCUGGUUCCUGCCGUCUGGUCAGGGCUGGCCCUGGAUGCAGCCAGGCAGUGAGCAGCCGACGGGUGCCUCAGUGUCCCAUGCAGCACAGCCACGCAGAGCAGGCGAGGGCCAGCCCCCAGGAAGCCGCUUGUGCCUGCCCGCAGUGGGACAAACCUCGGCACUGAGUGUGUCCACAGAUGCCAACGCCCCUCAGACGGAGUGAGUUGAUGACUGUUAAAUGCAACAAUAUAAAUGGCCUUGUAUUUUGUAUAUCUUUCCUUUUUUGUUUUAUUUUUCUAGCUGAUCUUUUUUACUCUAUUUUGCAAAAGUUAGCAGUCUGCAGGGUGCUUCCCCCUGGCUGGCUGGAGAAGCCCCAUGUGCCGAGCCUGGUCCGAGGUCCUCUGAGCCCCCACGUCGCCUCGCUAAGUUGCUGUGCCCUGACCCCAGUGUGGGAGGGGCCAUCAGAGCACAUGUGCCUUCUACUUGGUGAGGGCGGCAUUAUCUUGGGGAUGCAACUGCAAUAAUCAAGAAACUUAGAAAUAUUUCGGAUGAAUUAACUGAGAACGCAGUGCACUCACUGGCAUGGCCACCUGCCCUCACCUGGGGCGUGCCUCCGGCCCUGGCACUGCUCUGCCCCACCCAGUUGGUGGAAUCAUGGAAGCAGAAGAGGGGUGGUCCCUGACUCGUGUUUGUGCUGUGGAGACGCCCGCAAAGGCCAGGACACUUGCAUAGAAUGCUCCCGGCACUCUCCCGUCUCCAGGGCUGUGUGUAAGAGUCAGUGACAGAACUGUACGCAGCGUGCAAGAGACAACUGCCAUCACUGCCACCUUGAAGGGCAGCCUGGGCACAUACUGUCGAGGGACAAGGAACUUGCUGACAGCAGAAGGCUUCAUGCCACAUGCUUCGGUCUGUAUACAGUCCAAAUCCGGCAAAGUGGCACGCAACACUGUCCAGGGGUUCACUGCACAUGGCAAAGCUGUCCUAGAGGGUAAGGAUGACAAAUGCCUGUGCAGGAGGGAGGUCGCCUCUGGGAACCCUGGGGGAAGCAGGAGGGAUGUGUUCCAGCUUUCCUGGGUGCCU